GAUGAACGCUGGCGGCGUGCCUAAUACAUGCAAGUCGAGCGAACAGAUAAGGAGCUUGCUCCUUUGAAGUUAGCGGCGGACGGGUGAGUAACACGUGGGUAACCUACCUAUAAGACUGGGAUAACUUCGGGAAACCGGAGCUAUUCCCGGUAAACAUUAAGACCCGAUUGGUCUUAAGGGAAAAGUUGGUUUUCUUUUACUUUUUAGAUGGACCCCGCCGGAUUAGCUAGGUGGUAAGGUAACGGCUUACCCAGGCGACGAUACGUAGCCGACCUGAGAGGGUGAUCGGCCACACUGGAACUGAGACACGGUCCAGACUCCUACGGGAGGCAGCAGUAGGGAAUCUUCCGCAAUGGGCGAAAGCCUGACGGAGCAACGCCGCGUGAGUGAUGAAGGGUUUCGGCUCGUAAAACUCUGUUAUUAGGGAAGAACAAAUGUGUAAGUAACUGUGCACAUCUUGACGGUACCUAAUCAGAAAGCCACGGCUAACUACGUG
rnacentral:rRNA from 1 species